UGGGGUGUGGCCAAGCGGUAAGGCAACGGGCUUUGAACCCGUCAUUCGCAGGUUCGAAUCCUGCCACCCCAGCCA
rnacentral:tRNA from 1 species